GUGCCAGCAGCCGCGGUAAUACAGAGGGUGCAAGCGUUAAUCGGAAUUACUGGGCGUAAAGCGCGCGUAGGUGGUUCGUUAAGUUGGAUGUGAAAGCCCCGGGCUCAACCUGGGAACUGCAUCCAAAACUGGCGAGCUAGAGUAUGGUAGAGGGUGGUGGAAUUUCCUGUGUAGCGGUGAAAUGCGUAGAUAUAGGAAGGAACACCAGUGGCGAAGGCGACCACCUGGACUGAAUACUGACACUGAGGUUCGAAAGCGUGGGGAGCAAACAGGAUUAGAUACCCUGGUAGUCC
rnacentral:rRNA from 1 species